rnacentral:lncRNA from 1 species
GCCCCUUGAGCCAGCUGAUGGGGGGACCAGGAGCUCCCAGCAGUGCAGGUCCUGGCUCUCCCCCAAUCCUACAGCCCAGCUCUCCUUGCAGAGAUAACCCCCUUUGAUCCUGAGGAGGAUGAGCUAGAUGGCUGCGGGUCUGAGGCCGGCUUGGAUACGGUGACAGAGGAAUGGUGGGUCCCUGGGGAGGCUGGCAGGGGGAUGCGAGAGGGAAGGAGGGGUGCAGGAUGAGCUCCCCGACCAUGUUCUCAUAGGGCAGGAGCGCGGGUGCUCGGCUGGCUGGUGCAGGGCUUCGAGAGGAUCGUGCCGCAGCCAGAGAUGCUGAAAAAGCCGGAGCCGGAGCCGAAGGAGCAGAAAUGCGAAGCUGUGGCAGGAGGUGAGUGAUCCCCCUUCCCUGGGCGGCCCUUUCAGAGGGGACGCUCUGCUGCCAAGAAGCUGGGUGCCUGCAACGUUGGGGCUGACCUCUAUCCCUGUGCCCCGAGGUACUGACUGCCCAGAGAGGUGGGCAUGCCAGGUCCCGGCAUCACAGCACUGCCCCUACACCACGUCUGUCCCCAAGCCACCUGUGUCCUCAUCCCAGGCUGGGUCCCUGGGGGAGAAGUUGCCAGGGAGAUUCCCCAAGCCUGUCCCUCUGUGGGAAAUGACCCUUCCUCAUUUGCUUCCCUUCCCCAAAAAUGUAUAAGAUGAUCAGUGCGUUGCUUAUUCCCCUUCUCCUUCCAAAUAAAACUGAGCAGGCACAAAAGGGACUAAAACCCAGGCAAAGUCAAAAGGCAGCAUUUCAGCCACUCAGAGUAUCCCAGGAACAGUAGAGCCAGCAGUCGCCGAGAGGCAGCCAGAGCAGGUGGCCACCCUCAUCCCUCGGUCCCUGGCUGGGGACGGCAGCAGGUAACUGCAGUGGCAACUUCUGCCUGGGUACCGUGGCCAGAGGGACGACUGAUGUGGGAUCCAAGGCUCUGGCAGCCAGGUCUAACAGUGGUUUCUGGUCACUAGGAUGUUUGCCUGGUUCGUUCAGGGACUGGAGAAGGUGAUGCCACAGCCAGUGACCAGGGAGAAGCAGGACACACAGGGAGUGGCAGCAGCAACCUGGAGUCCUGUGGAAGAAAUUCGUAUUGUUCCUGGGGAAACUGAGGACACUGACCUCGUCCUGGAAGAAGUCAAUGAUGACUGGAUUAAUGAAGCCACAUGCGAGAUGAUGGCCUGGGGUCGUGAGGCUGAGCUGGUAGCAGAUGCUCAUCCCCUUCCCCCCAUACAGGAGGAACCUCAGGAAGAAGAAAACAGGUAGGAGAAGGAAGAUGCUGUUGAUGGACAGCUCUACGUGCCCUCUGACCACCAGCGUGGUGGCCAUGGGAGGGGAUGAGCAUAUCCCUGGGCAUUUCUCUUUGCCAGUGCUGGUGGUGGAGCUGGCACUGGGCAGCCAAGGUGCUUGUUUCCAAAGAGAGGGGCACCAAAAGGACCCAAAAGGUGUUUGAGCAAAACCAACCUUUUCUUCUGGUGUUGAGUGGCA